rnacentral:ncRNA from 1 species
AUUCCCUCAGGAUAGCAGCAACUUAUUUACGAUAGUUUUAUGAGGUAAAGCGAAUGAUUAGAGGAUUCGGGGAAGAAACUGCCUCGACCUAUGCUCUAUGUAUUUGACCAGGUUUGCAACCUGCUUGAAAAGUGGGAUGGGCAGAAAUUCAAGUCGUG